UGCAGCUCUGGGUUCAGAGGGGCGGCAUGUCUCAGAAGAAAUCGGCCGAACAGGCGCUCGUGUAUAAAUGCACAGUCUGCAUGAGUAUGAUGCCAGACCCGAAAACAUACAAGCAGCAUUUUGAGAGCAAACAUCCGAAGAAUCCUCUACCUGCAGAAUUGCAGGAGGCGUAACUUGACACGGUUCCUGGUGAUAUUUUAUUUGUACAAGAGAAGACAAGAGUUUUGUCAAGAGAUCAUCAUGAAAUCAUUCAAUCGUCAUUCUCAGAUUUUCGUCAUUCUGUGAUUCCAUGUUCUCUCAAUCAAAUGUUUGUGUUACUCUUGGUCUGGCUGUAAAUAUUUUCUUUUUAUUUCGGAUAUAUCUAUGUGAAUAAAAUGUACAUUCAUC